rnacentral:lncRNA from 1 species
CAAAUUAGCACGAUAUUCUUGCCACAUGACUAAUAAUGAUUGAUAAAGUCUUUGACUUUUAAGGGAACAAAUUUAAUAUAAUUAGGAGAGAAGAACAAAUGCAAUAUAAUUUGGAGAGAAGAACAAAGAUAGGAGAGGGAGAGACCACUGGCAAAAUUGCUGCAGAUGGAAUCAAAGUUCAAAAAGCUAGGUAGUUCUUUACAAGUGCCUAACGUGCAGGAAUUGGCUAAGGAGAAAUUGACCACUAUUCCACCAAGAUACCAGCGUCCUAAUCAAGAUCAUCUCCGUUCUUCCUUACCUGAAAAUCGAAUUCCUGUGAUUGAUAUGCAAAAGAUGAUGGAGAAAGAUUCAAUGGAUACAGAACUUCAAAAACUGCACACUGCAUGCCAAGAAUGGGGUUUCUUUCAGGUAUGCACAGAAACAACUAAAAUAUAUAGCACGAUUGGCUCCUACAACUGGCUACUUGCAGUUGAUUAGUAUUUUCUGUUGGAUAUUGUUUUAUACGAUCAUAAUUGGCUACUCGCAGUUGAUCAACCAUGGGGUUAGCUUUCCAAAGGUGGAGAAAAUGAAGUUAGAAGUUCAAGAAUUCUUCAGUCUCCCAAUAGAGGAAAAGAAGAAGUUUAGUCAAGAAUCAGGGGACGUAGAGGGUUAUGGACAGGCCUUUGUUGUAUCAGAAGAGCAAAAGCUUGAUUGGGCAGACUUAUUCUUUGCAAUCACCUUACCAAUUCACUUGAGAAAGCCUCACUUAAUUCCCAAGCUUCCUACUAAGUUCAGGUAGAAACAUGUAUCGAGUAUUUGUACCAUUUAAUCUCAUCUGAUAGCUGAACUGAAAGUGUUGUUACUUGGCUCCUGUUAUUCUUGAUUUUUGCAGGGAUGCAAUAGAUGAAUAUGCCAUGGAAUUGAAAAACCUUGCCGUGAAAAUCCUAGACCUAAUGGCUAAAGCUUUACACAUGAAAGCUGAGGAAAUGAAUAUGGUUUUCGAAGAAGGGAUGCAAGCAAUGAGGAUGAAUUACUAUCCUCCCUGCCCCCAGCCGGAGCUUGUUACAGGCCUUUACCCCCACUCUGAUGCAGUUGGACUCACCAUCCUCCUCCAAGUCAACGAAAUUGAAGGUCUUCAGAUUAAGAAAGAUGGAGCUUGGAUUCCUGUUGUACCACUCCCUAAUGCUUUUGUUAUCAACAUUGGAGACAUUUUAGAGGUAUUUGUACAUGGUCAAAUGGCCUAAAGUCGCUCCAUUUAUAAAUUGUUCUCUCUACGGUUUGUAUAGCUAUAGGCUAUAAAUUAUGUUGUAUUUAUUGAGAUCUGUUGUGUCUUUUUAUCGUUUCCAUUGGAUCUUAUCAUUACCUGCUUUGACAGAUUGUGACAAAUGGAAUUUACCGAAGCAUUGAACAUCGAGCAACUGUCAACUUGAAGAAAGAAAGGCUCUCCAUUGCCACAUUUUUCAACCCAAAUAUAGAUGGUGAUUUUGGUCCAGCACCGAGCCUUGUGACCCCUGAAACUCAAGCAAAGUUUAAAAGAAUCAGCUUUGUUGAUUAUAUGAAAGGACUAUUUUCGCGGGAACUUGAUGGCAAAUCAUUCCUUGACACAAUGAGAAUUUAGAGAAAGAACAAUCUGGUUCUUGAUUUAUGUAUGCUGAGUUCAUUAAAUGAGAAAUAUGGUAUCUGCUAAUAUUUAUGUAUGGUAUGGCAGCUGCUAUCUGUACCCAAAAUCGAAUUGCUUUGAUUGAAUAAAAUCUGUGUCAACUAGUAGAAGAAUGAAUUAAGUCUUGUUAACGAGGCCCUUUUAUUGAUUAGCCAAUUUAAAUUCAAACAUAGAAAUGUAAUAAUGAAGAUGUCAGAAGUUGCAAUGUUACUUUGUAUUGAAACACACAUUCUUGAAAUAUUUAAUUAUGUCGUCG